AUUGAACGCUGGCGGCAGGCCUAACACAUGCAAGUCGAGCGAGCGGCGGACGGGUGAGUAAUGUGAGGGAAACUGCCUGAUGGAGGGGGAGUACGACUGGAAACGGUAGCGAAUACUGCAUACCAUCAGAUGUGGGCAGAUGGGGUUAGCUAGUAGGUGGGGUAACGGCUCAGCCAGGCGACGAUCCCUAGUUGGUCUGAGAGGAUGAUCAGCCACACUGGAACUGAGACACGGUCCAGACUCCUACGGGAGGCAGCAGUGGGGAAUAUUGGACAAUGGGCGAAAGCCUGAUGCAGCCAUGCCGCGUGUGUGAAGAAGGCCUUCGGGUUGUAAAGCACUUUCAGCGGGGAGGCGUUACCCACAGAAGAAGCACCGGCUAACUCCGUGCCAGCAGCCGCGGUAAUAC
rnacentral:rRNA from 1 species